GUGCUCGCUUCAGCAGCACAUAUACUAAAAUUAGAACCAUACAGAGAAGAUUAGCGUGGUUGCUGUGCAAGUAUGACACACAAAUUUAUGAAGCAUUCCAUAUUUUU